rnacentral:rRNA from 1 species
GACGAACGCUGGCGGCGUGCUUAACACAUGCAAGUCGAACGAUGAUGCUGGAGCUUGCUCCAGUUGAUUAGUGGCGAACGGGUGAGUAACACGUGAGCAAUCUGCCCUUGACUCUGGGAUAACUGCGGGAAACUGUAGCUAAUACCGGAUACUUUCACCGGAAGGCAUCUUCUGGUGAUGAAAGAAUUUCGGUCAGGGAUGAGCUCGCGGCCUAUCAGCUUGUUGGUGAGGUAACGGCUCACCAAGGCGACGACGGGUAGCCGGCCUGAGAGGGUGACCGGCCACACUGGGACUGAGACACGGCCCAGACUCCUACGGGAGGCAGCAGUGGGGAAUAUUGCACAAUGGGCGCAAGCCUGAUGCAGCAACGCCGCGUGAGGGAUGAAGGCCUUCGGGUUGUAAACCUCUUUUAGCAGGGAAGAAGCGAAAGUGACGGUACCUGCAGAAAAAGCACCGGCUAACUACGUGCCAGCAGCCGCCGUAA